rnacentral:rRNA from 1 species
AUGCCUAAGACCAAGCACUCCGCAUGCAAGCAAGUCACCGGUGGUCUGGCUCGUUUGUAUCGUCGUGGUGGCUCGUCUAGCAACUCCUCCUCAGAGGGAUCGGACUAUGAGGAUGAACUUGAGGAGGUGGAACCGGCCCCGUUUGUUGAUGUUCACAUUUCUACACCCAAGCCGGGAACUCGUCGUCCAACCUUCCAGCCUCCUCCUCCUCCGGUGCAACCCCACGGUGAUGCUCGUCAUAUAUCCCUUGAGCCUCCAUUACCACUCGGCCGCCAUAUUAAGCGGUUCAACAAGGUUCCCACCGCUUCUUAUCUUAAAUUGCAUCACGAUGUUGAUCAAUUUACUGUUGUUAGGGAUUCUCAGGAUAGUCGUUUUCGCACUAAUGUCCAAGCCGACAUCUUUACCACUAUUGUCAUUCCUAAAGGCUUGUCUCUCCAUGUCUGCAUUGACCUAGAGCAUAUUCGCACUCAUCCGGAUAAAUAUCCGGGGGCUAUUGAGUUCAUUGAGUCAUCUAAUCUUGCUGCUCCAUUUGCAUUUCAACAUGACUUUAACCAAGCUGCCAUUCAUCACUUCUAUGCCACAUGCUAUUUUAGUCCAAAUAACACUGUCACUUGGAUGACCUCCGAUGCUGUGCUCACAUCAUCUUAUGCUCAAUUUGUUAAUGCCCUUGGGUUUCGUGACACCGGGUUCAAAAUCCACAAGGAUGAUCCCAACCAUAGGCCCAAGGGCAUUGAGGUCUGUGCGGAUCUUCUCAAACCGAUAGAAAUGUUGACUAACAUAGAGAAACAAAAGGGUCUGAACCAAGUCUCCAUUUGGCGCUCCCCUUUUUACAUCAUCUAUCAGUGUGUCAUCUGCACCAUCUAUCCCAAGAUGGGCGACAAAGGCUCUUGCAAUAGCUAUUGCAUUGAUCUCAUGCAUUGCCUCUUUGCAUCCCCCCAAGGGAAGAUAAAUGUUCCACACUUUCUAUGGCAUGAGAUCCGCCUCGCUAUCCUUCAGCACAAGCGGGCCUUUCCUCAUGCCCCCUUCCUUCAGGAUUUUAUCGAGAGUGUCGCUUCUUUUCCCAUUGCCCGCACUCACGUGUAUGAGCGAUGGGUUAUUCCAGCUCACAUGGCGGCUGAUCAUGUUCCUCCUCCUCCUACUCCUGCUCGUCGCACCGCAGCUAGUGUUCCUUCUCAUGCUGCCCGUUCUCCUUCCAGUUCUACACCCUUUGGGCGCAUUGCUCGCUUUCUUGGGAAGUCUCACUCUGCAAUGAUGAAUAUGUUCACCUUUCAUUGCUCCCAACAUCACGAUGUUGUCACUCGCAUGGUCACUUCCAAGAAUGCUCUGAAGGCUCGUCUGAGAGACUCCGUAGUGUAUGAUGUGAGUCAUGAUGAACACCUUCCUGACGAGCCUCCUUCUUACUUUGGUUUCCCCUCGGGUCCUGAGUGGGCUGAUUUCUUCGACGAGGCGGGUGGCAGUGGUGCUCAUGAUGAUGAUGAUGAUGAUGAGGAUGAUCUAUGA